UCUCUCUCAAAACCCACCACCCACCUUCAUAAUCACCAUCAGUAACAUCAUCUUGUAUCAUCGUCAUCAUCAUCGACGGAAAACCUCAGCACCGCCGUCACCGGAGACACUGGAAAUCGAAGUCAUAAAACGAGAUUACUCGAACAGUUAUCGCAGAUUGAAGGUGGUAGUGGUGGGUUUACGGUGGAGGUGGAGGAGAUGGGGUAUACGGUGGAGGUAGAGGCGGUGGGUCGAAGGUGACGACGGAGGUGGUGGGUUGAAGGUGACGGCGGUGGUGGUGGGUUUAUGGUGGAGAUGGAGGCGGUGGGUUGAAGGUGUCGAUGGAGGUGGAGAUGGCGGUGGUGCUAAAACAAGAUUCGAUCUAAUCCAAUCACCAUCUCCUAUUUGUUUUCUGUUUUUGCUUCAACAUUCAUCCUUCUCGUAUGUUUUCACCUUUCUCUCUUUCUUUUCAGUUAAGAUUACUCGUUGAUGUGUUGUAUUUCAUCAAAUUCGAAGUUGAAAUCACUCGAUUGAUGCGUCAAUUCGUUUAGUUUUGGUGUACAUGGUUGAAUCUGUGAUGGAUCUUCAUUGAUUCUGCAGCCAAAACUCGAUUAGUGUAAUAGAUUGCAUUUGUUAGGAUUUUUUUUUAUGAAUAUUACGGUGUUUGGUGUUCUUAAUUGUAGACUGUUUGUUUGGGGAAGAUGA
rnacentral:lncRNA from 1 species